UUUUGGGGUUGGUUAUGGGAUUUUGGGGGUCGGUUAUGGGGGUCAGUUGUGGGGUUUGGGGUCACUUGGGUUGGUUAUGGGGUCAGUCAGUUGGGGUGAUAGGGUCGGUUAUGGGGCUUGGGGUCAUUUGGCUUGUUGGUUAUGGGGUUUUGGGGAUGGUUAUGGGGUUUGGGGUCAGUUAUGGGGUGUGGGGUGAGUUAUGGGGUCAGUUAUGGGGUUUGGGGUCAGUUAUGGGGUUUGGGGUCACUUGUGGGGUUGUUGGUUAUGGGGUUUUGGGGAUGGUUAUGGGGUUUGGGGUCAGUUAUGGGGUUUUGGGGUCACUUGGGUUGUUGGUUAUGGGGUCAGUUAUGGGGUGUGGGGUCACUUGGGUUGUUGGUUAUGGGGUUUGGGGUCAGUUGUGGGGUUGGUUAUGGGGUUUUGGGGUUGGUUAUGGGA
rnacentral:lncRNA from 1 species